rnacentral:rRNA from 1 species
UACGGGAGGCAGCAGUGGGGAAUAUUCCACAAUGGGCGAAAGCCUGAUGCAGCCACGCCGCGUGAGUGAAGAAGGCUUUCGGGUUGUAAAGUUCUUUCAGCGAUGAGGAAGGUGCUAUAUCUAAUAGGUGUAGCAAUUGACGUUAGUCGCAGAAGAAGCACCGGCUAACUCCGUGCCAGC